rnacentral:rRNA from 1 species
UGGGAAUAUUGCACAAUGGGCGCAAGCCUGAUGCAGCCAUGCCGCGUGUAUGAAGAAGGCCUUCGGGUUGUAAAGUACUUUCAGUCGGGAGGAAGGUGGUAAGGUUAAUAACCUUAUCAAUUGACGUUACCGACAGAAGAAGCACCGGCUAACUCCGUGCCAGCAGCCGCGGUAAUACGGAGGGUGCAAGCGUUAAUCGGAAUUACUGGGCGUAAAGCGCACGCAGGCGGUUGAUUGAGUCAGAUGUGAAAUCCCCGGGCUUAACCCGGGAAUUGCAUCUGAUACUGGUCAGCUAGAGUCUUGUAGAGGGGGGUAGAAUUCCAUGUGUAGCGGUGAAAUGCGUAGAGAUGUGGAGGAAUACCGGUGGCGAAGGCGGCCCCCUGGACAAAGACUGACGCUCAGGUGCGAAAGCGUGGGGAGCAAACAGG